rnacentral:rRNA from 1 species
UAAGACGAACCGUGCGAACGUUGUUCGGAAUCACUGGGCUUAAAGGGCGCGUAGGCGGGCUCGCAAGUCCGGGGUGAAAGCCCCCAGCUCAACUGGGGAAGCGCCUUGGAUACUGCGGGCCUCGAGGGGGGUAGGGGCGUGCGGAACUUCCGGUGGAGCGGUGAAAUGCGUAGAUAUCGGAAGGAACACCGGUGGCGAAAGCGGCGCGCUGGACCCCUUCUGACGCUGAGGCGCGAAAGCCAGGGGAGCAAACGGGAUUAGAUACCCCGGUAGUCCUGGCCCUAAACGUUGGGCACCAGGUUGUGGGCUUGCAUGGGCUCACAGCCGGAGCAAAAGUGUUCAGUGCCCCGCCUGGGGAGUAUGGUCGCAAGGCUG